rnacentral:rRNA from 1 species
AACUUUCAACAACGGAUCUCUUGGUUCCAGCAUCGAUGAAGAACGCAGCGAAAUGCGAUAAGUAAUGUGAAUUGCAGAAUUCAGUGAAUCAUCGAAUCUUUGAACGCACAUUGCGCCCCUCGGUAUUCCGGGGGGCAAGCCUGUUCGAGCGUCAUU